rnacentral:rRNA from 1 species
GACGAACGCUGGCGGCGUGCUUAACACAUGCAAGUCGAGCGGUAAGGCCCUUUCGGGGUACGACGAGCGGCGAACGGGUAGAGUAACAACGUGGGUGGACCUGCCCUCCAGCUCUGGGAGUAAGACCUCGGGAAACCGGGGUACCGUAAUACCGGAUAUGACUCCAUGACGCAUGUUGUGGGGUGGGAAAGACCUUGUGCGGCUGAGGAUGGGCCCGGCCGGCCUAUCAGCUUGUUGGU